rnacentral:lncRNA from 1 species
GGAUCAUAUUGCUUUAGUAGCAAUUUAAGAUUGUAUAGAUUUUUUUUUUUUUUUUUUUUUUCAUGGCAAAGUAUCAUAGAAAGCCAAUGAAGCAUGGCUUGUCCUUGAAAAUGCAUACUUUGCUAGUGACAUAAUCACUCAAGCCCAUCUAUAAGAAAAAUUCAUCACUCAAAAGAUGAAAUCCACAGAAUCAAUAAUCCAAUAUAUAUACAACUUAAAAAAUGUACUUCAACAAUGCAAUUCUAUAGGAGUUAUUAUUUCUCUUCAAAUAGAACUUCUCACUGUCAUAAAGUUUCUGCCAUCCAAUUAUAAAACUGUGAUUCUAAUGCUUUACAUAACAAAAACAACAAGACUUUUGAAACUUUUUAAAAUUCUAACAUAAAAAAAAUUGCUAUAAAAGGUUU